GACGUAGGGCGCGAGCGUUGUCCGGAUUUAUUGGGCGUAAAGAGCUCGUAGGCGGCUUGUUGCGUCGACCGUGAAAACCCGUGGCUUAACUGCGGGCUUGCGGUCGAUACGGGCGGGCUGGAGUUCGGUAGGGGAGACGUGGAAUUCCUGGUGAUAGGCGGUGAAAUGACGCAGAUAUCAGGAGGAACACCCGUGCGAAGG
rnacentral:rRNA from 1 species